CCCUUAGACGUUCUGGGCCGCACGCGCGCUACACUGACGAAGGCAACGAGCUUUCCUUUACCGAAAGGUACGGGUAAUCUUUUGAAACUUCGUCGUGCUGGGGAUAGAUCCUUGCAAUUUUUGAUCUUAAACGAGGAAUGCCUAGUAAGCACAAGUCAUCAACUUGCGUUGAUUACGUCCCUGCCCUUUGUACACACCGCCCGUCGCUACUACCGAUUGAAUGGUUUAGUGAGGCCUUCGGAUCCGCGACUCGUUUGUGGAGAAGUUGGACAAACUCAGUCAUUUAGAGGAAGUAAAAGUCGUAACA
rnacentral:rRNA from 1 species